UGGUCCUGGCCUUGUAAUCAACUCUUACUUGACUUACACAUGCAAGUCUCCGCACCCCUGUGAAAACGCCCUUGAACCCCCUUUCGGGGCAAGGAGCUGGUAUCAGGCUCAAUUAUUAGCCCAAAACACCUAGCUAUGCCACACCCACAAGGGCCCCAGCAGUGAUCAACCUUGAACAUAAGCGACAGCUUGAUUCAGUUAAAGUAAACAGGGCCGGCAAAUCUGGUGCCAGCCGCCGCGGCUACACCACGUGGCCCAAGUUGACCCCAUUCGGCGUAAAGCGUGAUUUAAGUUAUUCACUUACUGCAAUUCUAUUAAAAUUAGGUUGUUAUAAGCCUAUUGUUAAGAAAAUCAAAAACGAAAGUUAUUGCACACAAAACAACUUGAACCCACGACAGUCAGGAAACAAACUGGGAUUAGAUACCCCACUAUGCCUCACCGUAAACCUUUAAUUACACCCGUAUCGCCAGGGAACUACGAGCUAAGCUUAAAACCCAAAGGACUUGACGGUGCCCCAAAUCCCUCUAGAGGAGCCUGUCCUUUAAUCGAUACCCCCCGUUUUACCUCACCAUUUUUUGCCCCCAGUCUGUAUACCUCCGUCGUCAGCUUACCACGUGAGCGAAACUCAGUAAGCGUAAUGUCCACACACCAAAACGUCAGGUCAAGGUGCAGCUAACAAAAUGGGAAGAGAUGGGCUACACUCUCUAAGAUAGGAAAUACGAAAGACUGACUGAAAAACAGUUAGAAGGCGGAUUUAGCAGUAAAAGGUGACUAGAGCGCCCCUUUUAACCCGGUACUGGGGUGUGUACACACCGCCCGUCACCCUCUUCAAAGCUUCAAGACAGUAUUUAACCCAUCAAUGCUUAAAAGAAGAGGUAAGUCGUAACAUGGUAAGUGUACCGGAAGGUGCGCUUGGAAAU
rnacentral:ncRNA from 1 species